UACGUAGGGGGCGAGCGUUGUCCGGAAUCAUUGGGCGUAAAGCGCGUGUAGGCGGCUUGAUAAGUCUGGUGUGAAAUCUUGGGGCUCAACCCCAAGCCUGCACUGGAUACUGUCAAGCUUGAGUCCGGGAGGGGAGAGCGGAAUUCCUAGUGUAGCGGUGAAAUGCGCAGAUAUUAGGAGGAACACCAAUGGCGAAGGCAGCUCGCUGGAACGGUACUGACGCUGAGGCGCGAAAGCGUGGGGAGCGAACAGG
rnacentral:rRNA from 1 species